rnacentral:lncRNA from 1 species
UCUCCUUAUACUAGGGUUCGAGACAUGAGGCUGUCUUUUUGGGCCUUUUGCGUUGUCACAGUCCCAGACCACGGAACAUUCUCUCUUCCCCAGGACAGGACAUUCUCUCUUCCCCAGCCUCCUUCCUGUCCUGGCGUUGAGUCUUCCAAAUGGAAAAUUCCAGCCAUAUCAAUUGGUGAUGCACCCAUUUCUUCCUGUGGAACGACAGUCUGAUGGAAUUGCUUCUGGAGUAAAUGCCCAGCUUCUUACCACUUCAGUGUCAGCCUGAAUGUUUGGAAAGUUCUAGCACCUCAAACCAUUUGCAUCUAUGAAAGCAGAACUCUAUUUUUUCCCUUUGGUUUAGCUUGUGAGUUCUCUGUGGGAGGAAGAUCUGAUAUGGCCGGCUCUCUUUCAACCCUAGUUCCAGCAGAGAGAGAGAGAGAAUGUUCUGGGUGACGGACCCUCCCAGCAAAGGGGCUUGCUUUAUUUGCUUCUCUCCCCAACCCUCCACUCUUAGCCUUUGUCUUUUGAAUAAUCCUUCCUCAUUCCACUUUUGUGGUGGGGGAUAAUUAGUCACAACUCAGUAGUAAGCCGUGCCUGCUGUAGAGAGGAAGCAUUCAGGGGGUUGGAAGUGUGGAGACCCCAGUCUGAUUGCUGGAAUCAGUGCUCCUCGGUUCAGUGUUUUGAGACCAGGUCUUUAGCUUCUAGCUGGGCAUAUUUUUCUGCUUUGUAAUUUAACCUGUAUCUUUUUUUUCCCAUGUUCCUGCCUCAUCAGGGAAUUGUAAGAUUUAGGGGGAGGUGUGGGAAAUCUUACUCUUUGCCCUAAAGUAUUCAGCGAUCAGAAUUCUGGAUACCCUGCAAAACACCUCCAACCUCCCUGCCUUUGAACCCUGUGUUAACAAUGAGAAGCUUGUUUAUUUGAAGGCUGGGUUCUCAUUGGCCCACAGGGGUAGGUUGUAAUUGUGUGUCUAAAAAAUUGCCUUUUGCAUUCCCCAAUAGCAUGACAACUGGAAUAGUAAUUUGACUU